rnacentral:rRNA from 1 species
UAAGACGAACCGAGCGAACGUUGUUCGGAAUCACUGGGCUUAAAGGGCGCGUAGGCGGGCGAUCAAGUCGGUGGUGAAAUCCUACAGCUUAACUGUAGAACUGCCUCCGAUACUGGUUGUCUCGAGGAAGGUAGGGGCGUGCGGAACAGUUGGUGGAGCGGUGAAAUGCGUUGAUAUCAACUGGAACUCCGGUGGCGAAGGCGGCACGCUGGACCUUUUCUGACGCUGAGGCGCGAAAGCCAGGGGAGCAAACGGGAUUAGAUACCCCGGUAGUCCUGGCCCUAAACGUUGGGUACUAGAUAGUAGUCUGUCAUGGGAUUACUGUCGAAGUUAAAAUGCUAAGUACCCCGCCUGGGGAGUAUGGUCGCAAGGCUG